rnacentral:rRNA from 1 species
AUGAACGCUGGCGGCGUGCUUCACACAUGCAAGUCGAACGAAGCACUUUAUUUGAUUUCCUUCGGGACUGAUUAUUUUGUGACUGAGUGGCGGACGGGUGAGUAACGCGUGGGUAACCUGCCUUGUACAGGGGGAUAACAGUUGGAAACGGCUGCUAAUACCGCAUAAGCGCACAGCAUCGCAUGAUGCAGUGUGAAAAACUCCGGUGGUAUAAGAUGGACCCGCGUUGGAUUAGCUAGUUGGUGAGGUAACGGCCCACCAAGGCGACGAUCCAUAGCCGACCUGAGAGGGUGACCGGCCACAUUGGGACUGAGACACGGCCCAAACUCCUACGGGAGGCAGCAGUGGGGAAUAUUGCACAAUGGGCGAAAGCCUGAUGCAGCGACGCCGCGUGAGCGAAGAAGUAUUUCGGUAUGUAAAGCUCUAUCAGCAGGGAAGAUAAUGACGGUACCUGACUAAGAAGCACCGGCUAAAUACGUG